rnacentral:rRNA from 1 species
UACGGAGGGUGCAAGCGUUAUCCGGAUUCACUGGGUUUAAAGGGUGCGUAGGUGGGUUGGUAAGUCAGUGGUGAAAUCUCCGUGCUUAACAUGGAAACUGCCAUUGAUACUACUGAUCUUGAAUUUUCAGGAGGUAAGCGGAAUAUGUCAUGUAGCGGUGAAAUGCUUAGAUAUGACAUAGAACACCAAUUGCGUAGGCAGCUUACUACACGAUCAUUGACGCUGAGGCACGAAAGCGUGGGGAGCAAACAGG